CUACGGGUCGCUGCAGUGGGGAAUUUUGCGCAAUGGGGGAAACCCUGACGCAGCAAUACCGCGUGAGUGAAGAAGGCCUUUGGGUCGUAAAGCUCUUUUCUUGGGGAAGAUAGUGACGGUACCCAGGGAAUAAGCACCGGCUAACUCCGUGCCAGCAGCCGCGGUAAUACGGAGGGUGCAAGCGUUGUUCGGAUUUACUGGGCGUAAAGGGCACGUAGGCGGCACAGCAAGUUAAGGGUGAAAUCCCGGGGCUCAACUCCGGAACUGCUCUUAAAACUGCUGAGCUAGAGAUAGUCAGAGGCGGGUGGAAUUCCAGGUGUAGAGGUGAAAUUCGUAGAUAUCUGGAGGAACACCGGUGGCGAAGGCGGCCCGCUGGGGCUAUUCUGACGCUAAGGUGCGAAAGCGUGGGGAGCAAACGGGAUUAGAUACCCGUGUAGUC
rnacentral:rRNA from 1 species